UACGGAGGGUGCGAACGUUAAUCGGAAUCACUGGGCGUAAAGCGCGCGUAGGCGGUCUGUUAAGUGGGAUGUGAAAUCCCCGGGCUUAACCUGGGAACUGCAUCCGAUACUGGAUGGCUUGAAUCCGGGAGAGGGAUGCAGAAUUCCAGGUGUAGCGGUGAAAUGCGUAGAUAUCUGGAGGAAUACCGGUGGCGAAGGCGGCAUCCUGGACCGGCAUUGACGCUGAUGAGCGAAAGCUAGGGGAGCAAACGGG
rnacentral:rRNA from 1 species